rnacentral:rRNA from 1 species
CUAYGUGCCAGCAGCCGCGGUAAUACGUAGGGCGCGAGCGUUGUCCGGAAUUAUUGGGCGUAAAGGGCUUGUAGGCGGUUGGUCGCGUCUGCCGUGAAAUUCUCUGGCUUAACUGGGGGCGUGCGGUGGGUACGGGCUGACUUGAGUGCGGUAGGGGAGACUGGAACUCCUGGUGUAGCGGUGGAAUGCGCAGAUAUCAGGAAGAACACCGGUGGCGAAGGCGGGUCUCUGGGCCGUUACUGACGCUGAGGAGCGAAAGCGUGGGGAGCGAACAGGAUUAGAUACCCUGGUAGUCCACGCUGUAAACGUUGGGCACUAGGUGUGGGGGCCACCCGUGGUUUCUGCGCCGUAGCUAACGCUUUAAGUGCCCCGCCUGGGGAGUACGGCCGCAAGGCUAAAACUCAAAGGAAUUGACGGGGGCCCGCACAAGCGGCGGAGCAUGCGGAUUAAUUCGAUGCAACGCGAAGAACCUUACCAAGGCUUGACAUGC